UGUGACUAUGGGGAUUUAAUAGGGCAGGUGUGACUAUGGGGAAUUAAUAGGGCAGGUGUGACUAUGGAGAAUUAUUAGGCUAGGUGUGACUAUGGGAAUUAUUAGGCCAGGUAUGACUCUGGAGAAUUAAUCGGGCAGGUGUGACUAUGGCUACUAAUGAGAAACACUUCUUAAUCUUAGAAGAGGUCUUACUGCUCUGUUUGUUUUGUUGAGAAAAAUCACCUUAAAGGAGGAAAGGCCUAUUUUGCUCACGGUUUUAGUCUGUGGUCAGUUGGCUCCAUUAUUUUUGUGUCCAUGGCAAAAUAGCAAAUUGUUGGUGCAAGUUGAUGUGUGUACCUCAUGGUGCAUAGGAAGUAGAGAAUGGGAAGAAAGGAGACCCUUGGCCCCCUAAAUGACUUCGCUUCUUCACAUCACACCCCACUUUCUGGUAAAACCACAGACUGGCCAAUAAGCCAUUAAUAUGUGGGCCUGAUUAAACAUAACACUUCCAGAUUGUAACUGGGAUUAGUUUUCUGUUGAAAACUAAAAUUAACUGGGGAAGAUGUAAGGCGAUUGCUUCCUUAUAUUUCCAUCUUAAUGAGGUUAACAUCAUAUAUUUAUUAAAAGAUUUAUAAAACAAUAGCAGUUUCUGCCAUAUAAACAGGAUUAUCCGCUGUAGAAUGUAAUGUGGGUCUCUCCCUACCUGAAAUCUUGGCUUUGAGACUCUGGGUCUGGAAGAUGUUGCUCAGUAGACUGAGCUGCAGAGGUGAUGGUGAGUCCCAGAGGUGAAUGCUGUUCAUCCUCCUUACUCAGGUUAGGGGUGAAUCCAUAACCCCACAUCCUUAAGCCACGCAUCUCUUUCUUUUCUUUUUUCUUUUUUUUCUUUUUUGGUGAUUUGAAUUCUUUCUUUUUUCCCCCUUUUAGACAGGGUCUUGUGUUGCCCAAGGUUAGACUCAAACUAGCUCAUUAGCUGGUGAUGACCUUGAGCUAUCUCUUAUCCUACCUCUACCUUUGCUAGUAUAGAGAGUCAACACCACACCUGCUUUAUGUGACACCAGGGGCAGAACAUAGGACUCUAUGCAUGUUAGGCAACAAUUGUACCAAGGAGAAACACCUUCCACUCCCUUUGAAUUCUUUUAUAAUUAAACAAUUUGUACAUCUUUGGGCAUUCUGAGAUUAACUGUGUCUGUCUGUGGAGGGAAACUUUGGUAACCCAAUACAUGAUAUAACAAACCUAUACAGUUGUUAGUAUUUUCCUUGAAUUCCCUGAGUCUUCUGUGUACCAAAUGGGAUGUGAUCUGUACUGUUGCUGGGGAUGAUGUCGGCUUUGUGGCAGUGGAGGUGUCAGUUGAGAACCUGAAGUGCUUUGCAUUAAUUUUCUAAGUAGACAGAAUAUUAUAUCAUAGCGGAAUAUGAUUUAAAAGACCUCCUUUCUGUCGUGGUCCAGGGAAGCUUCUGUUUGAAGAACCGUGCAGAACAGACAGCUCCCUUUACCACAGCUGCUUUACCGUAAUUCUCUAGUGUGCCCCCAAGAGUUGUUCCUCUGCUACAUUCCCUCACGACCCAGCUUUGCGUGGCCGCUUCCCUUCGUGGAAAGAAUCCUUCACGUAUCAACUGUCCCCUGCUCACAAGAAUAUCUGUUUGCAUUCCAACCACACAGGCCCCUCUUGUUUCUCAGGGUUGAGGGUGGAUGGGGCGAGAUGGAUGAGAGUCCUUUUCAUAGCUUAAGCAAUCUCUCCGUCUCAGGGAGACAGAUACAGUCUGUAUGAUGGAUAUGCUUUAGGGGAAUGUGUUUUUGGCAUGAGGCUUCUGUGUGUUUACAGCUUAGCACGUUUCUCCAUCACUCUUCUCAUUACGUGCUCUGUUUUUGUGGGUUCUGGGGAGUCUUUGAGAGGGAAAUUUACCUUCCUGGGAUCUUGUUACAGUGGUUGCCUCAGCCACACAAAACAAAACAAAAAAUUCAUGACGUUGCAUGCGAGGUGUAAGGCAUGCCAGGUGGUUUUAAUAUUCCUCCAGACACACAGUCUUUGAGUUUUAGAUGCUUUCUUACUUGGGGAUGCACUGGCUAUAGAACUUGUUCUGCAGAGGCUCUGGGGAGAGGACAAGGAGGUGAUGGUACACUCCUCAUCACGUGCCCAAGCCCAGAACACACUUAGACCCCAGAUUUGGUUUUCUAAGGAGGGUGCGGAGACGCUCUCAGAGUUGAAAAUGAAGACCACAUUGGUUACUUUUCAGAAAGUACUAUAGAACAAACUUUUGAUAUUAGUUGAAAGGAAUCAGAUCUUUAUUUUGCCUUUCCUUUAUGAAUUUCACCAGAGAUGUAACCACUUAGCAUGAGGAAAAAACUCCCUUCAGC
rnacentral:lncRNA from 1 species